rnacentral:lncRNA from 1 species
AUAAUAUAAACAAAGAAAUUAAUAUAAUUACAUUUUUAAUAAAUAGGCAAAAAGGUUAUGAAAAAUAUCUUUUACAAUUUAAUAAUUUAAAUGCACCAUCAGAUUUGUACCAUUUUGAUAAUGCUGUCACUUCUGAAGAUAUGGUCAACGAUGGUCGUAGUGGAAGUAAUACAAAACGGAAUUUACAUGGUAAUGACAUAUGUAGUGGUAUUUGUGGUGCCACUCGUAGUGAUAUUCGUAGUGAUAUUCGUAGUGAUAUCCACAAUGACAACCAUAACAGUCACAACAAAACCAAUCGAAGCAGUAGCAGUAGCAGCAGCAGUAGUAGCAGUAAUAGUAAUACGUCCAGCGAAGAAGGUAGAUAUAUCACCGAUUGUGAUCAAAAAGAAAAAGAAUAUGAAUCAAAAUCAAUUGAAAAUACUUUUUUUUCCGGUUACCACUAUGAAGAAGGUCAUAACUGUUAUCCUUAUAAAAUACCUAGAGGCAUUAACAACUUUUCAUGUUUUCAAAAUUUAAAAAAUUCUAUAUCUACUAACGUUAUUGAUUUUGGUGAAAAACAUAUGAACGAAUAUGAAUAUAAACUAAUGGCAUAUGAAUCUAUGCUUAUAGUUUAUUAUUUUUUAUUUACACAACUAAAUGAUUAUUACUUAUUUGACACAUUGAAAAGAAAAAACAUGAAUAAAUAUGUUUUUAAAAACUGGAAUAACCAAUCAUUUAAAACACCAACAAAAGUACUCACAUGUGGUAAUGAAGAUAAGGAUUACAAAAAAAAUAUGGAACAACAAAAAAUGAUGGAACAACAAAAAAUGAUGGAACAACAAAAAAUGAUGGAACAACAAAAAAUGAUGGAACAACAAAAAAUGAUGGAAAAACACCUGAAUGACGAAAUGGUUAAAAUCAAAUAUACAAAUGAAGUUUCAGUUUCAGUUUCAGUAUAUGAUAAAAGAGGCAUAGACAAACAACAACCAAUUGAUCGACAGGGGGUUGUUUUUGAUUCUUUAGUGACAGUUGUUCCUGAUUUUGAAGCACCAAAAACGGGUGCAAAGGAUGAUGCAAAAAAUGAUGCAAAAAAUGAUGCAAAAGAUGAUGCAAAAGAUG